UCCCAUGUGGUCUAGUGGCUAGGAUCUGGCGUUUUCACCGCCAUGCCCGGGUUCGAUUCCCGGCGUGGGAA
rnacentral:tRNA from 1 species